GUCCCUGCAGCCCUGUGAACAACUUUGACAACCUCCUGCACCAAAUUCUCAACAAUGUUUCCAUCCCAGUCUCAGGGCACAGAGAGCCUGGUGGGUUCCUUCCACACCACACUCUCUACCCCACCACACUGGCUGCCACAUUAACAGACAUGGUCUUGCUGUGUCACCCAGGCUGGAGUGAAGUGGCACAAUCAUGGCUCACUGCAGCCUAGAACCCUGGGUUCAAGUGAUCCUCUCUUCUCAGCCUCCUGAGUAGUUGGAACUACAGACAUGCACCACCGUGCCCAGCCAAUCUUCAGGCAUUCCUACCACUCUUGUUGAGAGAGAGGGCUCAGAACAAAUGCCAACUGCCUCUUUCCACUACCUUCUUCCCCACCUUUCUCACAGUCCCUCAGGGAAGACAGGGAAGUCUUUCCUCUUCCUUGUUCUGGCUAAAGGGGACACUCCUCCUCCUUUCCAGAGUGGCAUCCACCUUCUAUGGAAUAGCAAAGCCAAGUGGACAGCAGAGAGAGAGAGAGGCAGAGAGAGAGAGAGAGGCAGAGAGAGAGAGAGGUUUACUAAGAAAAGAAUAAAGAUGAGGAAUAUUUUAAAAUAUUAUAAUCCUUAUACAUAUUUAAAACUAUCUUUUCCACUUGGUUAUUUGCAUUUUGUUGUUUUAUGGUUUUUGCAAAUGUUUAGACAUUUAAAAUAUUUAUAUAGUCAAAUAUUUUCAUGUUUUUUCAUUGAAUGUGCCUUCUCAGGGAUGCUCAGAGAGACCUUCCACAAUGUAAGUCUGUUUCCUCCUCAUUCUUUUAGAGCAUCAUUUG
rnacentral:lncRNA from 1 species